rnacentral:rRNA from 1 species
AGAGUUUGAUCCUGGCUCAGGAUGAACGCUAGCUACAGGCUUAACACAUGCAAGUCGAGGGGCAGCAUGACCUAGCAAUAGGUUGAUGGCGACCGGCGCACGGGUGAGUAACACGUAUCCAACCUGCCGAUUAUUCCGGGAUAGCCUUUCGAAAGAAAGAUUAAUACUGGAUAGCAUAACGAGAAGGCAUCUUCUUGUUAUUAAAGAAUUUCGAUAAUCGAUGGGGAUGCGUUCCAUUAGUUUGUUGGCGGGGUAACGGCCCACCAAGACAUCGAUGGAUAGGGGUUCUGAGAGGAAGGUCCCCCACAUUGGAACUGAGACACGGUCCAAACUCCUACGGGAGGCAGCAGUGAGGAAUAUUGGUCAAUGGACGAGAGUCUGAACCAGCCAAGUAGCGUGAAGGAUGACUGCCCUAUGGGUUGUAAACUUCUUUUAUAUGGGAAUAAAGUGCAGUAUGUAUACUGUUUUGUAUGUACCAUACGAAUAAGGAUCGGCUAACUCCGUGCCAGCAGCCGCGGUAAUACGGAGGAUCCAAGCGUUAUCCGGAUUUAUUGGGUUUAAAGGGAGCGUAGGCGGAUUAUUAAGUCAGUUGUGAAAGUUUGCGGCUCAACCGUAAAAUUGCAGUUGAUACUGGUGACCUUGAGUGCAACAGAGGUAGGCGGAAUUCGUGGUGUAGCGGUGAAAUGCUUAGAUAUCACGAAGAACUCCGAUUGCGAAGGCAGCUUACUGGAUUGUAACUGACGCUGAUGCUCGAAAGUGUGGGUAUCAAACAGGAUUAGAUACCCUGGUAGUCCACACAGUAAACGAUGAAUACUCGCUGUUUGCGAUAUACAGCAAGCGGCCAAGCGAAAGCAUUAAGUAUUCCACCUGGGGAGUACGCCGGCAACGGUGAAACUCAAAGGAAUUGACGGGGGCCCGCACAAGCGGAGGAACAUGUGGUUUAAUUCGAUGAUACGCGAGGAACCUUACCCGGGCUUAAAUUGCAACUGACGGAUUUGGAAACAGAUCUUCCUUCGGGCAGUUGUGAAGGUGCUGCAUGGUUGUCGUCAGCUCGUGCCGUGAGGUGUCGGCUUAAGUGCCAUAACGAGCGCAACCCUUAUCUUUAGUUACUAACAGGUCAUGCUGAGGACUCUAGAGAGACUGCCGUCGUAAGAUGUGAGGAAGGUGGGGAUGACGUCAAAUCAGCACGGCCCUUACGUCCGGGGCUACACA